GGACGACGCUGGCGGCGUGCUUAACACAUGCAAGUCGAACGGUAAGGCCCUUCGGGGUACACGAGUGGCGAACGGGUGAGUAACACGUGGGUGAUCUGCCCUGCACUUUGGGAUAAGCCUGGGAAACUGGGUCUAAUACCGAAUAGGACCAUGGACUUCACGGUUUGUGGUGGAAAGCUUUUGCGGUGUGGGAUGGGCCCGCGGCCUAUCAGCUUGUUGGUGGGGUAAUGGCCUACCAAGGCGACGACGGGUAGCCGGCCUGAGAGGGUGACCGGCCACACUGGGACUGAGAUACGGCCCAGACUCCUACGGGAGGCAGCAGUGGGGAAUAUUGCACAAUGGGCGCAAGCCUGAUGCAGCGACGCCGCGUGAGGGAUGACGGCCUUCGGGUUGUAAACCUCUUUCAGCACAGACGAAGCGCAAGUGACGGUAUGUGCAGAAGAAGGACCGGCCAACUACGUG
rnacentral:rRNA from 1 species